GUGCUUGCUUCGGCAGCACAUAUACUAAAAUUGAAACGACACAGAGAAGAUUAGCAUGGCCCUGACAAAGGAUGACACAAGACUGACCUGGAUUCUAUCUCAACCAU